AUGUUCACUUUAGCAGCACAUAUACUAAAAUUGGAACAAUACAGAGAAGAUUAGCAAGGCCCCUGCAAAAGGAUGAUAUGCAAACUCAUGAAGCACUCCAUAUUUUU
ensembl:snRNA U6 U6 spliceosomal RNA